rnacentral:lncRNA from 1 species
CUGUGGGUAACAAUUAUACAAUAGGAGCUUUCCUCAAAGCUCCGGCUUGAUUCAGCUGGCUCACUCCAGCUUAGUUAAUUAACUUGAUGAACGCGAUCGUGAUAGGCGAGGACGGGCUGAGAACGGAUCCCUGUCGAGCCUAGAGGUAUAAGCACUAAGGGCGGACCUUAUGGAAUGCUGUGUAUAUGCCCUCUGUCAAUCCUGCUCUGAUGCGCGUCUCGAGGUAGGGUAGGAUCACAGUCUUGUUACACAAAACAGGCCUAUCAACCCUCCUAUGAUUAUAUUAUCCUUAAUAUUUAUUGGUCUGUACGCUCACGAAGAGUUGCUUCGAG